rnacentral:rRNA from 1 species
UACAGAGGGGGCAAGCGUUGUUCGGAAUUACUGGCGUAAAGGGCGCGUAGGCGGCCUGCUAAGUCGAACGUGAAAUCCCCGGGCUCAACCCGGGAACUGCGUCCGAUACUGGUUGGCUUGAAUCCGGGAGAGGGAUGUGGAAUUCCAGGUGUAGCGGUGAAAUGCGUAGAUAUCAGGAGGAACACCGGUGGCGAAGGCGGGUCUCUGGGCCGUAACUGACGCUGAGGAGCGAAAGCAUGGGGAGCGAACAGGAUUAGAACUACCGUAGUCAG